rnacentral:rRNA from 1 species
AUUGAACGCUGGCGGCAGGCCUAACACAUGCAAGUCGAGCGGAGCGGCGGACGGGUGAGUAUUGCCUAGGACUCUGCCUGGUAGUGGGGGAUAACGUCCGGAAACGGGAGCUAAUACCGCUUACUCUUAGCUGCGCCUAGGCCGGAUUAGCUAGUUGGUGGGGUAAAGGCUUACCAAGGCGACGAUCCGUAACUGGUCUGAGAGGAUGAUCAGUCACACUGGAACUGAGACACGGUCCAGACUCCUAUGGGAGGCAGCAGUGGGGAAUAUUGGACAAUGGGCGAAAGCCUGAUCCAGCCAUGCCGCGUGUAUGAAGAAGGUCUUCGGAUUGUAAAGCACUUUAAGUUGGGAGGCGUUACCAACAGAAUAAGCACCGGCUAACUUCGUGCCAGCCGCCGCGGUAAUUG